CUGGAGAUACUGAGGUACACACACACUCACACACACACACACACACUGUACACUGGAGAUACUGAGGUACACACACACACACACACACACUCUCUCUCACACACACACACACACACACACACACACACACACACUGUACACUGGAGACACUGAGGUACACACACACACACACACACACACACUGUACACUGGAGAUACUGAGGUACACACACACACACACACACACACACACUGUACACUGGAGAUACUGAGGUACACACACACACACACACUCUCUCACACACACACACACACACACUGUACACUGGAGACACUGAGGUACACACACACUCACACACACACACUGUACACUGGAGAUACUGAGGUACACACACACACACUCACUCACACAGACACAAACACGCACACACGCUCACACAUGCACUCACAUACAGUACACACUCACACUGGAGAUACUGAGGAUGUGGAACUGCAGGAUUACAGAUGAAGGUUGUGCUGCUCUGGCUUCUGCUCUGAGGUCAAACUCCUCAUCACACCUGAGAGAACUGGAUCUGUUCGGUAAUAAUCCAGGAGAAUCAGGAGUGAAGCUGCUCUCUGAUCUACUGAAGGAUCCACACUGUAACCUGGAGACACUACACAUUAAGGGUAAUAAAUUCACCAGGACUGGCAUAUGACGGGAGUCUCACCUCAAACCUCUUCUCCAGGAUACUGCAGUCUUGGUGAAGAGUUAGAACCCGUCCCACAUUUCCAGCAGUUUGGGAGCUGAAUCAUUAAACUUAAAGGUGCAGAGCAGAAACAAAGUCAAGAACAGGCAGAAGGUCGUACACAGGAGAAAUCAACACACGUAACCAAAUAUCUGCUGUACAAAGCAACGGCACGAUCUGCCCCGGGGAUGGAGACUGACGAGGCUUAAGUACACGUCCGGAAAAGUACAGCCAACUCAUCCCAAAGCACGAGGCGGGAGCAGGCGUGUACGAGAUGUGAUCGUCCAAUGGCAAGCAGGAACAUGACGCAUUGCAGUGGACUGGGCUUAAAAGAGGAGGAAACAAGACACCCAUCCCUCCCCCGACAUAGACACACGAAUGGAACAUAGUACAAAUAGAAAUACAACUGAGGACGUAACAAUGGCCAAGUAUCAAAUAAAAUGUAAACUUGCAUUGAUGAAGGUAAUGUUGUUAGUAAUUGUUUAUAAAUUACCAUGGUAACACAGAGCUCCAAGGUAUAAAAAUAUGGAGUUUGUCAUCAAUCAAACAGUAACCAGUUUUAAUACCUAAAAAUGUUUACAUAGCAAAAUUUAGCAAAGCGCUUUACAGUAAAUUAAAAUGUAAAAUUAAACUAAUGAAGUGUUGUGCAGCACAUGCUUAUGUUAAUGUUUGUUACAUUAUAUAAUCAUAUAAAUAAAUAAAUACUCCCAAAGUCACCAGAAUUGAAAGCUUUGGUGCUGUUAAACAUUUAGAGAUUGAGGUUGUGGUGAGUCAGUAGUUCACUCAGUAUAUCUGGGUAAGACACAGUGAACGACUCACUGCUGGCAUUCAUGAAGAAGUCAUAAACUCCACUGGAAUAAUAAAUAGGAUCUAAUAAAACCAUGAGUGGAAAUUAUUGGUGUAAGUUUGUUAGGAUAGACUUCCUCCAACCUGGAACUAUAUCCUCCAGUCCACGCGGUGGCGGUAACGCGCCUAACAGCUGCGUCUCCGACCAGUAGAAAUCACAGAACAAGAAAAAGCUGCAGCGGGUAUCUCCUGAGCAAAUCCCUUCUAUUGUGCACUGGAAGAUCGCUGGACUUGAAGCAACUCCAAAUGGUGGCCUGUUUGUCCAAAGCCCAGGCUGACCCCCCACCCCUUCAACCUUUGCAGCAAUGCUGGCAGCACUAUUUCCCAAAGACAACCUCUGGAUAUGAUGCUGAGCACGUGCACUCAACUUCUUUGGUCGACCAUGGCGAGGCCUGUUCUGAGUGGAACCUGUCCUGUUAAACCACUGUAUGGUCUUGGCCACCGUGCUGCAGCUCGUUGUCAGGGUCUUGUGUCCAAAGCCCGUGGUGGUGGCAGUGCAUGGCGUGUGUGUGGGAGCAGGUCUGUUGGGAGUGUUAAGUACCAUCUCAUACACUCAGCAAACAAUAUGGAUGGAACUUUCCAGAGUUGUGGUGUCACUUUCCUGCAAAGCUUUAACCAUCAGAGAGUUAUCUUUUACUGGGGCUUUUAGCUGCAGGAGACUGAAUUACUAACAGUUUUUUUUGUGGAUCUGAUUUCUUCUUUCGCAGGAGUGGAUCUAAUCACAGUCUGUGAUAUUUGUCUGUGCACACAGGAUGCCUGGUUUCAGGUGAAGUCGUGUGUUCCCUGAUGGUCAAUGAUUGCUGGAGCUCUGGAAAUAGCAGGUGAGAUUGCAGGCCGGAGUCCCGUCGCUGUCCAGGGAACCAAAAUCAACCUCCUCUACUCCUGAGACCACAGUGUGACUGAGAGCCUAGACUACAUGGCUACUUGGAACAUGAACAUGUUGCAGACACAGGAUCUUAUGAAGUCAGCGCAGACAGCCCUGGAAAAGAAGAGUCCGAAAGACGUGCCCUUCUCCAAGCUUUAAAGGAGAAGAUCCAGGGCUGUUGAAGCUGCGGUGGAACUGAGACUUCAUCAUCCACAGAUCUUUAGUUCUUCUUGUUAAGUCUGAGUUUCUUUUUAGUCUUUUUAUUUUUAGACUGGUCAAAAGACUGAUUAGUGGAAGUGAAAUGAUGGAUGAACUUUUAAUUACUUGCUUUAUUAUUUGCAGGUGACUUGUACAAUAAGACAGGGUAACUAAUACUCAAAAGCUUGUUUUGUGUGUUAACAUGUACAGUAGAUGUACAUAUUUUUUCUGGUCCUGUGUGACUGCAGAAUGUAGUGCAGUUAACACAGUAAAUUUCCUUGGAUGCUCACUUUUAACUCGAGGAGGUCACAGUUUGCCCAGACAUCUUUUUUUAAAUCCGUCAAUCCGUCACCCACACGUCAUUCUGGGGGACGAAGAGGAGGAAGCUGGACAGAUACAUUUAUUUAUUUAUUUAUUUAUUUAUCAUUGCUGUGUUUCCUCAAUCCAGUGCAGAAAGAAGAAAAACACAACUGAUUUAAAAUAAAAAUAUAGAACAUAAUCUAAUGUAAGGUUCUGAUCCGGUUUGCUUUCAGCAGGAAAGCUGUCCUCUUUCCUGUUGCUCUUUCCCUUCUAUUAGUCCAUUUGUCCAGUCUGAAUCGGUUUGAUUCGUUUCAAGACGAUUUGGAGUCGAAUAAUUUUCUAGUGAGAGUCGCACACUUCCAAACGAACUAGACUGAGAUGAGUAUUUGAUUCUCACUAGAAAGUGAUUAGACUCUGAAUCAACUCAAAAUGAAUCAGUCAAACUGAUUCAGACUCUAUAAAAGGAUUAUGAGAUGUGAUUAGGAUAUAUAUUCCAAUGUUUUGCUUUACAAUUCCACUGUGUGUGUGUGCGCGCACGUGUGUUUUUCAGGAGAACGAGAAACUCGGACACAAGAGUACAUCCUGACCAUUGGUACUGUGUACACAUCAACAUACACGCAUGUCUUCAUGUUGGACAUCUCAGGAGCUUUCACACACGGUGCUAGGAAUAUCCCGGGACAGAGAAACGCACCUCCUAAGUGAGCGAGUUUAGCGUCAACCGGUGAAAUUUGCUGUAGUGUGAACACUUCGCCUCUGUGAGCUUCACUCUCCGUCAGGUUCACUGUAAUUAGACAUAAAAUGUACAUAAUGUUUAUUUUUCAUACAUUUAGGAUUUAAUGUUUUUCUUUACUCUUUGAGGAACAGAAAUGAUCUUUUGAGGCAGUUUCAUCACUACCUGCUCCAUUUGAUUAAAACAUUACGACCGGUUUCAAAAAGUCACAAUGUCUUCAGUUCAUGUGAUUUUACUGUUGAAUUUAAACAGGAAAUGUGAAAUAUUUUUUCCUUUGUUUCCUCUACUGUCUUUUUGCUGUGAUCUUGAACACAGUUGUAAUUUUAUUAUUAUUUUUUAAAUAAAUAAAUGAUCAUUCUAUUCUUUCUCACUUUCCUUGUCCUAAUUGUCCUGUAUCU